rnacentral:rRNA from 1 species
CGGAGGGGGCUAGCGUUGUUCGGAAUUACUGGGCGUAAAGGGCGCGCAGGCGGCUGCUCAAGUCAGGCGUGAAAGGCCUGGGCUCAACCCGGGAAUUGCGCUUGAGACUGGGCUGGCUUGAGUGCGGGAGAGGAUGGUGGAAUUCCCAGUGUAGAGGUGAAAUUCGUAGAUAUUGGGAAGAACACCGGUGGCGAAGGCGGCCAUCUGGACCGCAACUGACGCUGAGGCGCGAAAGCGUGGGGAGCAAACAGGAUUAGAUACCCUGGUAGUCCACGCCGUAAACGAUGAGUGCUAGACGUUGGGGAGCCUAGCUUUCCGGUGUCGCAGCUAACGCAUUAAGCACUCCGCCUGGGGAGUACGGCCGCAAGGUUA